UUUAAUUCUUUAAAUUAUGAAAUUAAUAUUUAUUCCAAUAAAUUCAAGCAAUAAAGAAGCAUCAAAAAUAAAGAUGAACUUCCCCAAUUCUACUUUCCAGAAGUAUCCACUGGUAAAACCUUGAUCUGUUUUUCCCAUGCCAAGCAUAUAGUAAGGAGGAAAGAAUCAACGAGAGGCAAACGAUAUGCGUCAGUUAUCUUUUAAAGUUGCCACAGUUUGCUUUGAUGGACCAGAGCUUGUCCGCAUCACUGCAUUAAGGAGAUGUGUUUAUUUCAGGCUUCACUCUGAAUCAGUGAAGUUAGAAGCUGCAACAUAAGGGAAGAAGGGGAGAAGAGACUUGAAGGGACAAAACAACCUCUAUCACAGUCGUUCUCCACUCCUGACAUUCCGGUGUAAUGGCAGUGGCAUUAGAGCACAUUCCUGGCCAUUGUCCGUCCCCUCGGUUACUUGCCUCCAGGAGUGGGGUGACUUACCCCAUUAGUGAGUUUGAAGGAAGGAGCUGGACAUAAGUGCUUCAGUCCCUGCUUUUUGUCUCUCUCUGGGGAGGCAGCCUGUCUGCCGGGAGCACACACUCCCAGCUCCUGCACAGGUAAUGCAGCUUCUCCUUGACGCUUAGAAAACCUCUGUGAAAUCAGUCUGGUUUCUUGAGGUAGACUCCGUAACGACGUGCUCAAAAAUGAUUGAGGACAUUGGAAACAUUUGAAACUGGGUUUUUAUUGCUUAAAAUUUCAAUGUUAUGAAAGAUGUUGCGUUAAAAUGUUUUAAAUCACUGCUAAAUUUUUGAUGUGGUGGAAGGAAAUUGGAACAAUAACUAUUUUUACUUCUGCUUCCACUGCCAAUUUCCAGUGCAAUUUUGGACACGUGGGCCUCUCUCAAUUUCUUCAUUCGUAUAAUAGAUUGUAGAGCAGAUAGUCCUUAAUGCCUCUUUUAACUCUAAAAUCCUUUGAUUUUCUUCGUUAAAACUUAUAGAUUAGUACCAAUGUAUUCUGGACUGGAAAAAAACAAGUAUAGUUUAUCCACGAGUUGGUGCUGCCCCCUGUAGAGGACUGACAUGGGACGGGGCGGGGAGGGGGAGGGGGGACUGUGAAACCAGAUAAAUAUUUUGUCAUUCUAAUUGCUUCUCUCUGUCACCCUCUAUGUGCCUAUUCCUGCAUAAUCAAGAGUUUUUAAAAACUGUCUAACAUCUAUCUUUUUUGAUCUGUUAUAACGAAAAAAAUUAAAACAAAUAAAUUAUGCUUAAUGACUGUUAGCCAAGACAAUUUGAACAAACUUAUUUUUAAAACUGUUCAAGGAAAGGAUUGUUUCUGUAAUUUCCCAAAAUAAAUGUAUCUGAGCCUGGA
rnacentral:lncRNA from 1 species